AGAGCUAAUACAGAGACUGAAAAUUAAAUGAUCACACAACUGACUACCACAAAGAGUAAUUUCAAUACAAAAUAGAAUCACAAGUAGUAAUCUGAAUUUAUACAAACCACUAACUGAAAUACAGGCCCCAUAUAUAUAAUUGUUUCACAUCACACACAUAUGCAUUUAUAUCACACGAACAAUAAACUGGACACCAAUCAUCGGCAAGUACAAAAUAUGUGUGAUAUAUAUAGCUAGUUCUUACACGUCAACAAAAGUGACACUAAAUUGUUCUACUUCUUGCAGAUUAAUAGAGAACAACCAAACAAGCACAAGUCUGAAUAACACAAGGUCUAACACGUCUCUGAUACAUAGAAAUUACACACACACACACACACAGAGAGAGAGAGAGAGAGAGAGAGAGAGAGCAGCAGUAGCAGGAUUGGGAAAGAAGGAGGAGUAGCAAGGUUUUUGGAAGAUGAGGAGCAGCAAGGGAAUUUGAGAGAAGGUGUAGCAAGAGAGAGGAGCAGCGGCAGUUCAGCAGAGAGGCUGAGAGGAGCAACAGUAGUUGUAGUUCAGAGCAGUAGCAGCGUGGAGGGUUGAGAGAGCAGAAGGAGCACACUGAGAAGAGAUAAGAAGAGCAAGAGCGGGGCAGUAGGGAGAUCAAGAGAAAGAGCAGCAAGAGAUUGAGAAAGAAGCAGCAGUAAGGGCAUGGAGAGAAAGCAGAAGCAGGGGCGUGGAGAAGAGGUGCUGGUCGCGCGGCGGAUUAGACAGGCCAUCUGGUGGCUUGUGUGAUCUGGUGCUGGUGAUGGUGGAUGGAUGGUGUAGUGAAGAUGGAGGCGCUGUAGUGUUCGGUGGUGAGGUGGCGGAGUUGGUGGUGCUGCUGGAUGGAUGGGUCACGGAGGCGCACCACCACACCGGCCUGGCCGUGGCGGCGGCCGGAGGUGGAGAAGAAAGGGAUCGGGGGAGAGAGAUGAGAUGCCAGGCCUGAUGGGGAAUGGAGGCGUGCUAGGGAUUUUGAUCCCCCAUGAUCUGAUCUGUCUUUUUUUACUUUGGCCCUCCUCCUUUCUUCUUUCUUCACAAGUAGAUCCUCUCUUCUAUAGUUGCCCCCUGGCUACUUCGUUUCUUCUCGCACAUGUCCAUUCUUCCUCCUCUUCUUCGUUCUCUUAGCCACUUAGUCCGGAUCUUGAAGAUUUAUAGUGCCUUUGCGCACAUUUCUGCAAAAUAGACCAACGACUAGUAAAUGAUACUUUAUAUGAUUUUCAUGCAAAUAUUCAAUAUUUCACAGCAAGAAUUGAUGGUCAUAUCUCAAUAAAUAAUAUAUUUCUAUGCCAAAAUUGUAUAUAUGAAAUGUGCUUAUCAAGUUCCCCCACACUUAAACUUUUGCUUGUCCUCAAGCAAAGGCAUAUGACAAGAGCAAGAAUGUGAACAGUGAGCUGACUAGAGAAUACCAAGUGAAGUAGAUGCCUAAACAGUGCAUGCUUUGGACUUAGCUAGUGAAAAUUAAUGGUUAGGAGUGCUUCAAAGCGGUAAGAUACUAGUAAGCAUGACCAUUUUAAACUUUUACAAUGAUAAAAGAGGAUCAACAAGUUUAAAUGAUGACUGCGCCAAAUGGUUCCUAAAGAGAGCAUGAUCCCGAGAACAAAAAGAACUGGAAUUAAAUCUCUUAUUUGCAGAAAUAUAACUUUGUGGUUGACCCACUUAUUGAAUUUGAAAGAAACACACAUAUUAUUUCAUUAGUCUCACCGAAGGAACAUACCACCGAUCCCGAGAACAUGGUAUACACCUGGCUCAACCAAUUUUUAUUAAUUUUUCUGUUUGUCUCCCCAAAGGAACAUACCACCGUUGCCGGGGAAUCAAAAUGAUCAAUUGUAAUAUAGCGGGGUUUUUACGCCCCAAACUACGAGUGUCGUGUUCUCCACAGGGACUAGGUGACGACGACUAUGCUCGGCUAAAGCUAGGUAGCAAGAUAUUGGGUGAUGAAAGCGGAAAAUAAAACCUAAACUAACAAGGUUAUUCCUGAAGAUCGCCGCCAAAGGAAAUGCAAAAUAAGCAAAGGGGAGGUUCAGAUUGUCUAUAUUGUCUUUUUGGUGUUUCCCUAUUACUUGAGAAAUUAAAAUGCUAACACAAAAGGAAACAACAGGACAUGAACACAUAUAUUUAUCUAACAAGCGUAUGACAGAGGGAAGAAACAAGAUAAUAGACAGGGAUGAAAAUGCUUCAUGUCACAACAUAUAUUAUAGGUGCAGAGCUAAUACAUAGACUGAAAAUUGAAUGAUCACACAACUGGCUACCACAGAGAGUAAUUUCAAUACAAAAUAAAAUCACGAAUAGUAACAUGAAUUUUUUAUAGUGAGCUAGCUGACAUGAUUUACAUCACAAAACACACAUGUAUUUAUAUAGCACAUGUACUGGAGCUAACACAUUGACAACUGAAUAAAUUUAUGCAGUAAGGAACAAACACAUAAGGGAUCCCACACAUACAGUAGCAGAAUACUAAUUAACAGAUGACAAGUAUGAACUGAACAUAUAGCAGGUUACAGGCACUUAGAUAAUCUGAAUAUUACAAAGCUUCUUACUACUCCUAUUACAGAAAAUUCAGAGAAUAUAGAGAGGGGGAAGAGAUAUAGCAGCAGAGGAGGUAAGGAGGAAGAGUAGCUGUGAGGGGAAGGGAGUAGUAGUGGCAGUUGAAAGAAGAAGCCGCAGGGCGCAGCAAUGGAGGAGCAGCAGCGGGACUUGGAGAAGAGGAGGCAGCAGCAGGAGGUCGAGGAGAAGAAGGAAGAUGCAGCAAUUUUAUGAUUCAGAAAAGAACAGUAGCAGAGGACAUGGGAAGAGGGAGCAGCAGCGGGGGCAUGGAGAGGCAGUAGGUUGAGGCGCCAGGAGAGGAGAUGUAGCAGCAAGAGAUGGAGAAGGGCAGAAGAAUCAGCAGGGUGGAGGCGCACGGAGGAAAGAGAGCUCGCGCGAGGGAUCAGACGCCUCCGCGACCUCGUGUCUGAUGGGGCGCGCGAGGUGGCGCUUGGUGCUGAGGGCGGUGGUGGCCGGAGGCGCUGGUGGGUGAUGGUGAGAUGGUGAUGCUGGUGGAUGGAUGAGUUGCGAAGGCGCACCACCACGUCGGCCUGGCCGUGGCGGCGGCCUGAGGUGGGAGAAGAAGUGGUCAGGGAGAGAGAUGUGUGCCAGGCCCGAAGGGAUCGAAGGAGAUGGCUAGGGAUUUUACCCCUCUCGAUCAGAUCCGCAUUCUUCUCGUUUAGCCCUCCUUGUUUUCUUCUUUCUUCCCAAGUUGGUCCCCUUCUUCUUCAGCUAGCCCCUGUAGGUUAAUUCUUCUUCACACUCGAGUUCCUCUGCAAAAUGCAGCAGCCGCAACCUCUUAGACACUCCAAUAUACAAGGAUUUGGGCCUUAUCGCCCUUUUCUGCAAAAGAUGGAGUAGUGUUGUAAAUGUGACAUAAUAUGAGUAUUUGAAUAUCUUUCGAGUAAAUAAUGUGAAAAUAUGAUUACAAUUUGAUGCAAAAAGGCUAAAAAUAAUAUAUGAGGAAAUGCUCUAUCAAGUUCCCCCACACUUAAAUCUUUGCUUGUCCUCAAGCAAAGAAAUAUGACAAGAGCAAGAUUGUGAACAGUGAGCUGACUAGAGAAUGCCAAGUGAAGUAGAUCUCCAAACAAAGCAUGCUUUGAACUUUGCUAGUGAAAAUCAAUGGGCAGGAGUGCUUCAAAGCAGUAGGAUACUAGUAGACUUGACCAUUUUAAACUUUUACAAUGAUAAAAAUGGAUCAACAAAUUCAAAUGCUGAUUGUGCCAAAAGGUUCCUAAAGAGAGCAUGAUCCCGAGAACAA
rnacentral:lncRNA from 1 species